GACAGAGGUGCCAAGCGUUAGGCGGAAUCACUGGGCUUAAAGCGUGUGUAGGCGGGUACUUAAGUCAGAGGUCAAAUCCCAGGGCUCAACCCUGGAACUGCCUUUGAUACUGGGUACCUAGAGUUCGGGAGAGGUGUGUGGAACUCCGAGUGUAGAGGUGAAAUUCGUAGAUAUUCGCAAGAACACCAGUGGCGAAGGCGGCUCACUGGCCCGUAACUGACGCUGAGGCACGAAAGCGUGGGGAGCAAACAGG
rnacentral:rRNA from 1 species